rnacentral:rRNA from 1 species
GACGAACGCUGGCGGCGUGCUUAACACAUGCAAGUCGAGCGGAAAGGCCCUUCGGGGUACUCGAGCGGCGAACGGGUGAGUAACACGUGAGUAACCUGCCCCAGACUUUGGGAUAACCCUCGGAAACGGGGGCUAAUACCGGAUACGACACAGCUUCGCAUGAGGUCUGUGUGGAAAGUUUUUCGGUUUGGGAUGGGCUCGCGGCCUAUCAGCUUGUUGGUGGGGUGAUGGCCUACCAAGGCGACGACGGGUAGCCGGCCUGAGAGGGCGACCGGCCACACUGGGACUGAGACACGGCCCAGACUCCUACGGGAGGCAGCAGUGGGGAAUAUUGCACAAUGGGCGGAAGCCUGAUGCAGCGACGCCGCGUGAGGGAUGACGGCCUUCGGGUUGUAAACCUCUUUCAGCAGGGACGAAGCGUAAGUGACGGUACCUGCAGAAGAAGCGCCGGCCAACUACGUG